AACGAACGCUGGCGGCAUGCCUAACACAUGCAAGUCGAACGAGACCUUCGGGUCUAGUGGCGCACGGGUGCGUAACGCGUGGGAACCUGCCCUUAGGUUCGGAAUAACUCCCCGAAAGGGGUGCUAAUACCGGAUAAUGUCUUCGGACCAAAGAUUUAUCGCCUUUGGAUGGGCCCGCGUUGGAUUAGCUAGUUGGUAGGGUAAAAGCCUACCAAGGCGACGAUCCAUAGCUGGUCUGAGAGGAUGAUCAGCCACACUGGGACUGAGACACGGCCCAGACUCCUACGCGAGGCAGCAGUGGGGAAUAUUGGACAAUGGGCGAAAGCCUGAUCCAGCAAUGCCGCGUGAGUGAUGAAGGCCUUAGGGUUGUAAAGCUCUUUUACCCGGGAUGAUAAUGACAGUACCGGGAGAAUAAGCACCGGCUAACUCCGUG
rnacentral:rRNA from 1 species